rnacentral:rRNA from 1 species
UACGUAGGGUGCAAGCGUUAAUCGGAAUCACUGGGCGUAAAGGGUGCGUAGGCGGGUCUUUUAAGUCAGGGGUGAAAUCCUGGAGCUCAACUCCAGAACUGCCUUUGAUACUGAAGAUCUUGAGUUCGGGAGAGGUGAGUGGAACUGCGAGUGUAGAGGUGAAAUUCGUAGAUAUUCGCAAGAACACCAGUGGCGAAGGCGGCUCACUGGCCCGAUACUGACGCUGAGGCACGAAAGCGUGGGGGAGCAAACAGG